GCGGGUAUAGCUCAGCAGUAAAGUGCUUACUUAGUAUGCAUGGGUCCUGGGUUCAAUCCCCAGUACCCCCA
rnacentral:tRNA from 1 species